CCUACGGGAGGCAGCAGUGGGGAAUCUUGCGCAAUGGGCGAAAGCCUGACGCAGCCAUGCCGCGUGAAUGAUGAAGGUCUUAGGAUUGUAAAAUUCUUUCACCGAGGACGAUAAUGACGGUACUCGGAGAAGAAGCCCCGGCUAACUUCGUGCCAGCAGCCGCGGUAAUACGAAGGGGGCUAGCGUUGCUCGGAAUUACUGGGCGUAAAGGGAGCGUAGGCGGAUAGUUUAGUCAGAGGUGAAAGCCCAGGGCUCAACCUUGGAAUUGCCUUUGAUACUGGCUAUCUUGAGUACGGAAGAGGUAUGUGGAACUCCGAGUGUAGAGGUGAAAUUCGUAGAUAUUCGGAAGAACACCAGUGGCGAAGGCGACAUACUGGUCCGUUACUGACGCUGAGGCUCGAAAGCGUGGGGAGCAAACAGGAUUAGAUACCCUGGUAGUCCACGCUGUAAACGAUGAGUGCUAGUUGUCGGCAUGCAUGCAUGUCGGUGACGCAGCUAAACGCAUUAAGCACNCCGCCGNGGGAGGACGGUCGCGAAGUAAUUAAAACUUAACAAAUAGUUAAAGUUAGUACGGCGUUGAGAGNGCCGAACGGACGACACGAGGGGAGGAGGNG
rnacentral:rRNA from 1 species